GACGAACGCUGGCGGCGUGCUUAACACAUGCAAGUCGAACGGAAAGGCCCUGCUUUUGUGGGGUGCUCGAGUGGCGAACGGGUGAGUAACACGUGAGUAACCUGCCCUUGACUUUGGGAUAACUUCAGGAAACUGGGGCUAAUACCGGAUAGGAGCUCCUGCUGCAUGGUGGGGGUUGGAAAGUUUCGGCGGUUGGGGAUGGACUGGCGGCUUAUCAGCUUGUUGGUGGGGUAGUGGCUUACCAAGGCUUUGACGGGUAGCCGGCCUGAGAGGGUGACCGGCGACAUUGGGACUGAGAGACGGCGCAGAGUCGUACGGGGGGCAGCAGUGGGGAAUCUGGCACAAUGAGCGGGAGCCUGAUGCAGAGGCGCCGGGGGCGGGAUGGCGGCCUGCGGGUUGUGAACCGCUUUCGCCUGUGACGAAGCGUGAGUGACGGUAAUGGGUAAAGAAGCACCGGCUAACUACGUG
rnacentral:rRNA from 1 species